rnacentral:lncRNA from 1 species
ACUCUUAUGCCUUCUCUCAGAUUGAGACAGAAUGCUGGCCCCAAUCCUCCUCUCCUUCCUGAGGAGUCUAACUGAUGACCAAUGGAGAGUGAUUCAGCAUGGCAUGUCUCAAUCUUGAGAGAAGGCAUUAGAGUCCUCUGAGCCUCCUUCUCCAGCUGCUCAAUGAUAGAUUCCCUUUCCCGGAAACCACACCCGGGUGUCUGAGAAGACUCUGGGAAACCGCAAAGAGAAAUCUAAAGUUGAAUCUGAACUUGAUCCCUAAUUUCCUUCACCUUUAGUGAUUUGAUUGCACUGGACAGGUAAAAGCACAUCUCUCUGCGGGCCUCCACUAUAUUGCUUUCACCUAUAUAGAUACUAUCUUCUCAGAUCAGUGCUGAUGAAUUUGAACACAACCUGCACCCAACAUGAA